GAUGAACGCUAGCUACAGGCUUAACACAUGCAAGUCGAGGGGAAACGACAUCGAAAGCUUGCUUUUGAUGGGCGUCGACCGGCGCACGGGUGAGUAACGCGUAUCCAACCUGCCCAUCACUUGGGGAUAACCUUGCGAAAGUAAGACUAAUACCCAAUGAUAUCUCUAGAAGACAUCUGAAAGAGAUUAAAGAUUUAUCGGUGAUGGAUGGGGAUGCGUCUGAUUAGCUUGUUGGCGGGGUAACGGCCCACCAAGGCAACGAUCAGUAGGGGUUCUGAGAGGGAGGGCCCCCACAAUUGAACCGGGGACACGGCCAAAACCCCACGGGAGGGAGGCAUGAGGAAUAAUGGGCAAAGGGGGAGAGCCCUAACCAGGCAAGUAGCGGGCAGGAAGACGGGCCUAUGGGGUUUUAACUGCUUUUAUAAGGGGAUAAAGUGGGAGGUCGGACUCUUUUUGUAUGUACCUUAUGAAUAAGGACCGGCUAAUUCCGUG
rnacentral:rRNA from 1 species